UACGUAGGGAGCAAGCGUUGUCCGGAAUCAUUGGGCGUAAAGCGCGCGUAGGCGGCCCCGUAAGUCCGCUGUGAAAGUCAAAGGCUCAACCUUUGAAAGCCGGUGGAUACUGUGGGGCUAGAGUCCGGAAGAGGCGAGUGGAAUUCCUGGUGUAGCGGUGGAAUGCGCAGAUAUCAGGAGGAACACCAAUGGCGAAGGCAGAUCUCUGGGCCGUAACUGACGCUGAGGAGCGAAAGCAUGGGGAGCGAACAGG
rnacentral:rRNA from 1 species